rnacentral:rRNA from 1 species
UGGGGAAUAUUGGACAAUGGGCGAAAGCCUGAUCCAGCCAUGCCGCGUGUGUGAAGAAGGUCUUCGGAUUGUAAAGCACUUUAAGUUGGGAGGAAGGGCAUUAACCUAAUACGUUAGUGUUUUGACGUUACCGACAGAAUAAGCACCGGCUAACUCUGUGCCAGCAGCCGCGGUAAUACAGAGGGUGCAAGCGUUAAUCGGAAUUACUGGGCGUAAAGCGCGCGUAGGUGGUUUGUUAAGUUGGAUGUGAAAUCCCCGGGCUCAACCUGGGAACUGCAUUCAAAACUGACUGACUAGAGUAUGGUAGAGGGUGGUGGAAUUUCCUGUGUAGCGGUGAAAUGCGUAGAUAUAGGAAGGAACACCAGUGGCGAAGGCGACCACCUAGACUAAUACUGACACUGAGGUGCGAAAGCGUGGGGAGCAAACA